AAGAUCCUCAGUCCUUUUAACAGGACAAUAUGAUAUAGAUGUGCAGACACAUAGGGAGUUGUUGUGAUUAUGAAAUUAUCAAGGGUCUGAAAUGCAAGGAAAAGAACUGUAGAUGAGGGGAAGUUAGCUAAUGAUGUUAUUCCAAAAGAUGGAGUUCAUGGAACCUAGACACCAAUGACAAUGUUUUUUGCAUAAAUGAGCAUAAAUGAAAGGAGGAUUCCACUGACAGAUCUCUACAGCUUUGGAUGACACAAGUGGAAGCAAUAUUAGUUAAGGCCAAUACUGACUAAUUUUGAAAAUCUGUGCCAAAUUGUUUUCACUCCUGAAUGAUUUUUCCCUUACCACUCUGGUAGAGCUGUACACCAGCAUGGCAUGAAGUCAGUCUCUGGAACUGAGUGAACGACUGAUCCCCCAGUUCACUGGAUAAAGAACUGGAUAAUUUGUUGGCUAAAAUAAAAGGCUACUCCUUGCUUUCA